rnacentral:rRNA from 1 species
GUAGGGAAUAUUGGUCAAUGGACGAAAGUCUGAACCAGCCAUUCCGCGUGCAGGAAGAAGAUUCUAUGGAUUGUAAACUGCUUUUAGCAGAGAAGAAACGCCUUCAUUGUUGAGGGUUUGACGGUAUCUGCGGAAUAAGCACCGGCUAACUCCGUGCCAGCAGCCGCGGUAAUACGGGGGGUGCAAGCGUUAUCCGGAAUCACUGGGUUUAAAGGGUGCGUAGGCGGGAAAUUAAGUCAGUGGUGAAAGUCUGUUGCUUAACGAUAGAAUUGCCGUUGAUACUGAUUUUCUUGAAUUGGGUUGAGGGUAGCGGAAUGUGACAUGUAGCGGUGAAAUGCAUAGAUAUGUCAUGGAACACCAAUUGCGAAGGCAGCUAGCUGGGCCUUGAUUGACGCUGAGGCACGAAAGCGUGGGUAGCGAACAGGAUUAGAAACCCUGGUAGUCC